rnacentral:pre_miRNA from 1 species
GCACUGAAGCUGCGCAGAAGGUGGGUAUCUGGAUGUGGUUGGCUCUGGCGGUCCUCUCACAUUUACAUAUUCACAGGCGCCGUGAGCUGC